ACUUUCAACAAUGGAUCUCUUGGUUCCGGCAUCGAUGAAGAACGCAGCGAACUGCGAUAAGUAAUGUGAAUUGCAGAAUUCAGUGAAUCAUCGAGUCUUUGAACGCACAUUGCGCCCCCUGGCAUUCCGGGGGGCAUGCCUGUCCGAGCGUCAUUGC
rnacentral:rRNA from 3 species